CCUACGGGAGGCAGCAGUGAGGAAUAUUGGUCAAUGGCCGGAAGGCUGAACCAGCCAUGCCGCGUGAAGGUCAGUGCCCUAUGGGCGUUAAACUUCUUUUGUGCGGGAGCAAUAAUGGUCACGUGUGGCCAGACGAGAGUACCGUACGAAUAAGCAUCGGCUAACUUCGUGCCAGCAGCCGCGGUAAUACGGGGGAUGCAAGCGUUAUCCGGAUUUUUUGGGUUUAAAGUGUGCGUAGGCUGUGAGGUAAGUCAGCGGUUAAAUGCUCCCACUCAACGGGGUGAAGUGCCAUUGAUACUGCCGUGCUAGAAUGCGGAUGCCGUGGGAGGAAUGUGUGGGGUAGCGGGGAAAUGCAUAGAUAUCACACAGAACACCGAUUGCGAAGGCAUCUCACGAAUCCGCGAUUGACGCUGAUGCACGAAAGCGUGGGUAUCAAACAGGAUUAGAUACCCUAGUAGUC
rnacentral:rRNA from 1 species